rnacentral:rRNA from 1 species
AUUGCAGAAUUCAGUGAAUCAUCGAAUCUUUGAAC